rnacentral:rRNA from 1 species
UACGGAGGGUGCGAGCGUUGUCCGGAAUCACUGGGCGUAAAGGGCGCGUAGGUGGCUUAGAAAGCGUGUGGUGAAAGCCCGGGGCUUAACCCCGGGUCUGCCGUGCGAACUACUAUGGCUAGAGAACUGUAGAGGCAAGUUGAAUUCCGGGUGUAGCGGUGGAAUGCGUAGAGAUCCGGAAGAAUACCGGUGGCGAAGGCGGCUUGCUGGGCAGUUUCUGACACUGAGGCGCGACAGCGUGGGGAGCAAACAGG